rnacentral:sRNA from 1 species
CUGCGUUAGCGAUAGAAACGGUAUCCUUUUUUGAGGUACGAUAAAAAAGAUUUAGUGGAUAGCGCGACCCUUG